AGAUCACCUCAAGAGAUCUGGAUUCCAGAGAUCUGAGUCUUGCUGAUGGCUCUUGAUGGAACUGAGGAGUUUGGAUUCCUCAGGAGGCUAUAACCUUGCCAACACGGCUCGAUGCUGGACAUACUUGACCGGGGUCAUCCUAGGGAAAACACUAUCCUCUGAGAUCCCAGAUCAUGAGUUUUUCACAGCAUAUGGUCCUGAUUAUGUGCUGGAAAUCACGCCAAGCUGCCGGCCAGACCGCAAUGAGCCCCACCGAAUCCAACAAAUCCUCAACUACAUCAAAGCCAUUUACUGAGCACCUACUAUGAGUGAGGCACUGUGCAAGACUU
rnacentral:lncRNA from 10 species